CCAGUCGUAGCCGAUGUUCCACAGCAGGUGGCCCAGGACAGACCCCUGCGGAACACCGCGCUCGACGGG
rnacentral:pre_miRNA from 1 species